GAACGGGUGAGUAACACGUGGGUGAUCUGCCCUGCACUUUGGGAUAAGCCUGGGAAACUGGGUCUAAUACCGAAUAGGACCACGCGCUUCAUGGUGUGUGGUGGAAAGCUUUUGCGGUGUGGGAUGGGCCCGCGGCCUAUCAGCUUGUUGGUGGGGUAAUGGCCUACCAAGGCGACGACGGGUAGCCGGCCUGAGAGGGUGACCGGCCACACUGGGACUGAGAUACGGCCCAGACUCCUACGGGAGGCAGCAGUGGGGAAUAUUGCACAAUGGGCGCAAGCCUGAUGCAGCGACGCCGCGUGAGGGAUGACGGCCUUCGGGUUGUAAACCUCUUUCAAUAGGGACGAAGCGCAAGUGACGGUACCUAUAGAAGAAGCACCGGCCAACUACGUGCCAGCAGCCGCGGUAAUACGUAGGGUGCGAGCGUUGUCCGGAAUUACUGGGCGUAAAGAGCUCGUAGGUGGUUUGUCGCGUUGUUCGUGAAAACUCACAGCUUAACUGUGGGCGUGCGGGCGAUACGGGCAGACUAGAGUACUGCAGGGGAGACUGGAAUUCCUGGUGUAGCGGUGGAAUGCGCAGAUAUCAGGAGGAACACCGGUGGCGAAGGCGGGUCUCUGGGCAGUAACUGACGCUGAGGAGCGAAAGCGUGGGGAGCGAACAGGAUUAGAUACCCUGGUAGUCCACGCCGUANACGGUGGGUACUAGGUGUGGGUUCCUUCCUUGGGAUCCGUGCCGUAGCUAACGCAUUAAGUACCCCGCC
rnacentral:rRNA from 1 species